rnacentral:rRNA from 1 species
AAGACCUUGCACUUUUGGAGCGGCCGAUGUCUGAUUAGCUAGUUGGUGGGGUAAUGGCCUACCAAAGCUUCGAUCAGUAGCUGGUCUGAGAGGACGGCCAGCCACACUGGGACUGAGACACGGCCCAGACUCCUACGGGAGGCAGCAGUGGGGAAUUUUGGACAAUGGGCGCAAGCCUGAUCCAGCCAUGCCGCGUGAGUGAAGAAGGCCUUCGGGUUGUAAAGCUCUUUCAGCCGGGAAGAAAAGGUUGCGACUAAUAAUCGCAAUUCAUGACGGUACCGAAAGAAGAAGCACCGGCUAACUACGUGCCAGCAGCCGCGGUAAUACGUAGGGUGCGAGCGUUAAUCGGAAUUACUGGGCGUAAAGGGUGCGCAGGCGGUUUUGUAAGUCGGAUGUGAAAUCCCCGGGCUUAACCUGGGAACU